AUCAGAUUCCGGAAUUUGGCAGAAGGAGAGAUUUCAUCUGUUUUCUGGCUCACAUGGAGGGUGAGAACCAUCUACAGCACUGGAACACAUUCAGGUGUUUUCUGUUGUGCUUUGCAGUCCUUAUUCUUACAACUGAGGUCAAUGCAGUAAGUGUGCUUUUAAUUUUACUAUAUGAAGUGGACAAAAUUAAGUACAGAUUGUGUUGUCAGAUUUGUGUAUCAUUUAUGGUCCUACACGCUCAACGAAACCUUAAGAUUAGUGGGAGUGUCCUUGUUUGUAUUACAAGUUCCUCGUGUGCAAUUCACAAAUGUUUGCCAUUUACAGAUCUUUUCAGUGUGCAUGUUCCUUUCAUUCAAAGCUUGUUUGAUUUUAAAGCCACAUUUAAUUUUGCCGAUGGUUGUUGGUGGUAAUAUAAUCAACUGGUUUCUAGAAUCUCGAUGUUAAUGUUAAAAAAAUAAUUUCUAAGAAGGUUGUUAAAAUAAUAUAGUGACAGAUCUUUUCUUCUGUGUUGUGAGGCAUAUCCGAGUAUAUAAUGGAUUGUUGAAAAAUAAAACCUGUAGGAUAGGAAUUAGUUUUAUGCAUCGGUUAUUAAUUGGAUGUCGAGAUGUGGGUGUUGCACUCAAAAAUGGAGAAAGAUGAAUGCAAGCUUUAAAGGAAUAGUUCACCCAAUUUUUUUUUUUUUUUUAUUGACUCACCCUCAGGCCAUCCAAGAUGUAGAUAAGUUUGUUUCUUCUUCAGAUUUGGAGAAAUGUAGCAUAGCAUCACUUGCUCACCAGUGGAUCCUCUGCAGUGAAUGGGUGCCGUCAGAAUGAGAGUACAAAAAGCUAAUAAAAACAUGACAAUAAUCCACACCACUCCAGUCCAUCAAUUAACAUAUUGUAAAGUAAAAAGCUGUGUGUUUGAAAAAAAAUAAAUAAAUAAAUCAUUAAGACUUUUUUAACAUCAAUCUGUUGCACUGGCCUAGAAUAUGAGUCCUGUUCUAUGAUAUUGCUUUUCCCUGUGAAAAAAAAUAAUAAUAAUCUUGUCUGAAUCAGGAAUGAAAUGUGCACAGAUCAAGCACCAUUAACUAGAAAAACAGUUUAAGACAAUAUAUCUCGGUGGAUUUUGAUAUGAGAGGACAACAGGGAAUUUACUUUUUCACUUGAGGAAACAUUAUGGAUUACAGACUCAUAUUUUGUUCUGAAGUCACAGUUUAAAAGAUAAAAUGCUUCAACUAAGGAUUUGUACCUUACAAACACAGCUCUUCACUACAUAAGAUGUUAAUCGAUGGACUGGACUCGUGUGGAUUACUUUUGGUUUAUUGUGAUGUUUUAUCAGCUGUUUGGACUCUCAUUUGGACGGUAUAGAUUAUAGGUUGUUCAAUAGGUUAUCAUAAUCAAUGUUAAUUAUGUUUUGUACAGACUUAUUGCUGUCUCUGGACAAUAUAGUAGUAGCUUUACCACUGGACAGCAGUCUCCACAUGAGUUAUGAUGAGUGUGUGAACUCUUCUUACAGUCUUGAGGAUGAUUUCAACAUGAAACAUCUUCCUUUUCCUGAUCCACAUGCUCAUAUGUGUUUCUGGCAACCAGCCAUCACCAGCAGCAAACACAGCAAGUUCAAAAGAGCUGAUAGUUUUCCAGCCGCCUGUACAAGCUCCUUCAGCUGUAACCUCAUUCUAUUAGCUGUAGAUCUAGCUGUGGUAUGCAUCUUGGCACCUUGUUUUUUUAAAGAAGAGAUUGCAUACUACAUAAGGUGAUUUUAUAAUCUCAUAAUUCCAAUGGCUCAGUUCACAAGACCAGUAUAUAAUAAUUAUAUGGUGUUAUUUUUUAGUCAAAAGUUAUGAGCGUGUAAGACAUGCUCACGAGCACAUUGUUAUUUCACACACACAAAAAUUGAAAUUCAACAACCGAGAGG
rnacentral:lncRNA from 1 species